CUUCUCUCAGAAAUGCCUAUUGUCACACUUUGGCCUCCUGACGGACGUCGAUGUCCUUCAGAAGCUACAGGAGGCAAUUAGUCGACGAGGACAGACCAUCCUGGAUUACUGUGCAACACUGGACAACCCCAAGAUCCGUGAUGUUCUGGCCUGCUAUGAUCCAGACUCUGACAAGGCUGCCUGCAUCCUGCUGCUCCUAAUGUUGUACUUCAAAGAGCCGAAAGAGAGUUUGAUGCUUGAAGUUGAUCCAUGUGCCACUGCUGUGGACGUCAAUACUGCAGAACUCCCCAGCACCCCCUGCUUGAUCAUUCAAGGUGACAUGAUGAAGCCCUCUGGAUGGCUUAUAUCCAUCGAGGGACAUGUCGUGAUGGGCCCACACCCUUUCUUUACACGGAGUAUCUGCUUUCUUCAGCAGCUAUUACGUCUUCAACCUUGAGUAGCCUACGUUGAUAUGGCCUCUCAUAGUAGAAAAUCAACCACUUUGCCUCAGGGAAACCUAACCUGAGGCACCUUGGCUAAAAGUGGCUAAAAAAAAUUAUGGUGAGAGUACGAUCUAACAAGUUUGGAUUUUAAAUCUAUUAGGGUUUGAUGUGGGGAAAAAGCACAGCAAAAAGCGCACCUUGAUAAAUGCUGUCUGCAAUACAUACUGUAAGUCUAUUUAAAACUGAAACUAUCUUUGCUUAUUAACAGGUGCUUCCUGGGCAUCAAUCCUGAAAGAGGCUCAAAGACCACGAAGCGGACAACAAUGAACCCUCAUGUGAGCACCCUUUUGAGGAAACUUAUUGACUUUGAGUGGGCAUCAUAGUUUCUGCAUUUUAAGAUGGCUUUUAUGACUAGAAAGUUGAAUUUCUUGAACUCUUGAAGUUCUUGGCAUCUGCUGCACAUUGAAAAAUAUUUGUUAAUAAAUAUGCCAUUGGGCUAACAUUGAAUUUACCUCAGAGUUGUUUGUUGGGUAGGGGGUUAAUUGUACAAUGAUUGUAAAUUCACAGUAAAUGGAAGCUUCAUCUGCAUUACUUUUACAGUACGUUACUGGACAAUUUUAGCAUGACUUCCACAGUAUACAUUGUAAAUUCACAGUAAAUUAUUGUCAACUUGUACAUUACUUUCACAGUACACACUGUAAAAGUACAGGGCCUUGUUGUAAUGAUGUACAGCAAAAGAUUGUAAUUCCCCAGUAAUGUACUGUAAUAUCACAAUAAUUCUUCUGCUGCAUCGUCAGCUUUGUGACGGAGGGUCUUUUCUGUCUGUGCAGCUCCAUCAGUAAGGAGAGGGAGAACAAGUGUCCUGGGCCCUUCAGUGAGAGCAGCAGAGAGGGAGCAUCACCUUCACCUGGAGUCCAACACCACGACAGACGGAUAACAAAACUAAAUCCAGCAGAAACGAGAAGAUGACUCAUGUUGUUUUCUUCUGUUUCUUCCAGCAGCUGAAACUGAUGAACGGCCUGACGCUUCAUUUCCACCUUCUCAUGAUUUCCUUCUACAGUCCCGCAGCAGCCUUUCCCUCAGACCAGGCUGUUGGGGACACGCCCUGAAGACUCGCUUCCAGCUGCUGCACCUGGAGGACAGCUGACACCACGAGUCCCAGCAGCACCUGUUCUGGACCAAUAAAGACCUUGUGCUGUCGGUCAUCUUCCACCUUUCAGGAAAACUUCAGCCACUUCCUGUUUCCCGCUCCAUAACCCCCAGCUUCUACCUCUCCAGAACACCGGGAGGGGACACGGCCCCCUCCCGAACCCGACGCCGCGGGACCGGCUCCGGGUACCCGGCCGCACGCGGGAUUCGAACCACCGCUGCGCCGCCUGCGCCUCGCGGUCGCCAUCGAACCCCACGCCGCCGCCGAGUCCCCUUCACAUCUGAACCUUUUCUCCGGGCGCUUUUAUCUUCUCACUUUGGCUGUUGGACUUCAAAAGUCACUGAGCCUCAUAAGGAUCGAACCCACAACCUCAGAGCUUCUGAGCAGCCUUCUAACACUCUGAGCUGUUUGAUCUGAGACACUGACUCUUUCUUUCUUACAGCUUUUCACUUUGUUGUUAAAGUUGAAAUAAUAAUCUUAUUAUUGUAGUUCUUCAAACUAAUCAGUAGAAUUAAUCCAUUCUCAGAUAUUCUGAGUCAAAUUUAACAAAGAUAUUAAGGAUUUCUAACAAAUAGAAAUUCAUUUUGUGAAAUAAAGCUGAAUGAUAAAUUGUAAGUUGAAUUUCUAGGCUUUUAUUUUGGUAUGUCCGAGUCAAACAGUCACUAAAGUGCCGUUCAGAGAAUUGAUGAAGUUACUAUUUAUUACUGCAUCAUUUUUUAUAGUGUAGAAAAA